UAAGGAAUAUUGGUCAAUGGGCGCAAGCCUGAACCAGCCAUGCCGCGUGCAGGAAGACGGCCCUAUGGGUUGUAAACUGCUUUUGUCAGGGAAUAAACCCCCGCUCGUGAGCGGGGCUGAAGGUACCUGAAGAAUAAGCAUCGGCUAACUCCGUGCCAGCAGCCGCGGUAAUACGGAGGAUGCAAGCGUUAUCCGGAUUCAUUGGGUUUAAAGGGUGCGCAGGCGGAUUGGUAAGUCAGGGGUGAAAUCCCACAGCUCAACUGUGGAACUGCGUUUGAUACUGUCAGUCUAGAGUAUAGUUGAAGGGGGCGGAAUGUGUCAUGUGGCGGUGAAAUGCUUAGAUAUGACAGAGAACACCGAUCGCGAAGGCAGAUCGCUAAGCUAUAACUGACGCUCAGGCACGAAAGCGUGGGG
rnacentral:rRNA from 1 species